rnacentral:lncRNA from 1 species
GAAAAUGGUACAUGUUCCCUGGCUAAUCUAACGUGGACCCAAAAGGCUGAGAAAAAGUAUAAUGACCGGUAUUCAAAACUCUUGAAAAUUGUUCUUCUGUGAAAGCCCCAAACCAAAAAUUUUACAAAUCCAGUACAAUUUUCUUUCGCUUUCCUUGGGAUUCUCAUCCACCAAACAGACCACAAGUAAACAUUAUAACCAACCCUAGCUUUGAUCUCAUCUAUCAUCCAAUGCACUAUCAUAAACUCACAAACAGAGAGAG